AUGGGGAGCGGGGGCAGGACGGAUCUGGACGGCGGCGCCGUGGCGCCGCUGACCAUCUGCGUGAUCGGCACCGGCGGCUUCAUCGGCUCGCACCUCUGCGAGAAGCUCAUGGCCGAGACCCAGCAGACGGUCCUCGCCGUCGACGUCUACUGCGACAAGAUCCGCCACCUCGUCGACCCGCCCCCGCCCCACCUCGCCGGCCGCAUCUCCUUCCACCGCCUCAACAUCAAGAACGACUCCCGCCUCGAGGGCCUCAUCAAGAUGGCCGAUCUGACGAUAAACCUGGCGGCGAUCUGCAUGCCGGCGGACUACAACACGCGCCCGCUCGACACCAUCUACAGCAACUUCAUCGACGCGCUCCCUGUGGUACGUGCUCUCGCUCCACGUCUGUUUUCGAUGGUGCUUUCGACGUUUCCAAGAACUGAAUGUCUGAGCGUCACGCAUCUGUCGGUGUUGCGUGCGUGCGCAGGUCAAGUACUGGAUCCGGAAGUCGUUUGCCCUGUACGUCCAAGUCGGGGCAUGCGAUAA
rnacentral:rRNA from 1 species